ACAACAAUAGGCAAUGGUAGCGCGUUGGACUUCUAAUCCAAAGGCUGCGGGUUCGAGUCCCGCGUGGGGUG
rnacentral:tRNA from 1 species